GACGAAGGGGGCUAGCGUUGCUCGGAAUUACUGGGCGUAAAGCGCGUGUAGGUGGUUGUCCAAGUUGGAUGUGAAAGCCUUGAGCUUAACUCAAGAAAUGCAUUCAGGACUGGGCGACUAGAGGACCGGAGAGGAUAGUGGAAUUCCCAGUGUAGUGGUGAAAUACGUAGAGAUUGGGAAGAACACCAGUGGCGAAGGCGGCUAUCUGGACGGUUUCUGACACUAAGACUCGAAAGCGUGGGGAGCAAACAGG
rnacentral:rRNA from 1 species